ACUGAAACCUGUCUAACUGCCAUUAUUAGGGCAGCAAGCCUGGCUUAAAGUGUAGUAAUUGCAUGACCUCACGAGGUUGAGACAUAACAUCAAGCUGCUCCACCUCACUUGCUGUUUCUGAUAUAAUAACCUUGGGGAAGAGAGCAGUGAAAUUCUAGCCCUACUUGGAUGGAGAGCAUCUAGCAGGAGAAUAAACAAGAUCAAUGAAAGGAGAGUGGCCACAGCCUACAGUUUUCUUGUCCAGAUGAUGAUUUGAGAUGCAACUUAAUGCCCCUCCACUGCCUUAAUAAAAUCAAACCAAGCAACCUAAUAUGGGGACCCAGAAGCAGCGAUGAUGUCUACCUUGCAGGAAACGAACAUAUCCUGACACGGUUUACUAACUUAAAGUAUACGGUAAAGUCGUCAAGACAGUCCUAAUUAUAGGUA